rnacentral:rRNA from 1 species
UACGUAGGGGGCAAGCGUUGUCCGGAAUUAUUGGGCGUAAAGCGCACGUAGGCGGGUUCUUAAGUCAGGGGUGAAAUCCCAGGGCUCAACCCUGGAACUGCCUUUGAUACUGGGAGCCUGGAGUUCGGGAGAGGUGAGUGGAAUUCCGAGUGUAGAGGUGAAAUUCGUAGAUAUUCGGAGGAACACCAGAAGCGAAGGCGGCUCACUGGCCCGAUACUGACGCUGAGGCGCGAAAGCGUGGGGAGCAAACAGG